CUCGGUGGGAGAUUUGGUUAGGGUAGUGAAACUUACUACCGGAGCUAUAGCCUUUUUCCCCUGAUAGGCUUAGCGACGUGUUUCAUUUUUGGAAUAUGUUGGGCAUUGUUAAUGUUUGUUAUUUUUGUGUGGUGUCUGUGGACUGAGCAGUUGUCUCGGGAGCACAUCCGUGGCUUGGUGGAAUCUACCAGCGUGCUGGGGGGUUACUUCCUCGCCAGCGGGCUACAGUGCAUAAUUACCCACCGCAAAUCUGCAUGAAGACUAGGGUUGAGUUAUUGUAGGUUUUGGGGAAGCUCCAUAUCUCAUCUCUUUUCUGUGGUACCAGUGUGAUUGUUUUUUCUCUUGUUGUGGUCUGAUGUGCUCAGAGGGGUUGAGUGAGAUUUUUUUUUUUUCUCUCCCUUUCCUCUCUCUCUCUGACUAUGGCGUCUAAUGUAGACGAGUUCAUUCGCUUUCCAUCAGAGGAACUGUUAGACGUAUGUACUAAAGAACAGCUGUUGAAGGUUGCUGAACACUACAAAAUUGAAAUUAGUGAUAAACGUCUAAAAAAUUCCAUUAGGUUAAUAUUGAAGGCCAAUCUGAUGGAGAGUGGUAUUCUUGAAGUUACCACUGGGGCAGCCUCUGCUGAGGACUCGCCGUCUCCCCGAUAUGUCACAAUUACCACUCCAUCGGUUAGUCCUAGUAAUCUUCUUUUUGAACAGCAGAAAGAGCUGCUUCUGUUACAGCAAGAGCACGAUCGUGAGAAGCUAGAGUACGAUCGUAUGAAAUAUGAAAAGGAAUUGGCUGCUGAUCAGUUAAAAUAUGAAAAGGAAUUGGCUGCUGAUCAGUUAAAAUAUGAAAAGGAAUUGGAAUUUAAACAGGAUAAGGAGCGUGCAGAUCGUGUAAAAUAUGAAAAGGAAUUGGCUGCUGAUCAGUUAAAAUAUGAAAAGGAAUUGGCUGCUGAUCAAUUAAAAUAUGAAAAGGAAUUGGAAUUUAAACAGGAUAUCGAGCGUGCAGAUCGGUUAAAACAUGAAAAGGAAUUGGAAUUUAAACAGGAUAUGGAGCGUGCAGAUCGGUUAAAACAUGAAAAGGAAUUGGAAUUUAAACAGGAUAUCGAGCGUGCUAAAAUCAAGCUGCAACAAGAGCGACUAGAGUUGGUUAGGGAAGGAAAGCUCUCAGGAGAGAGUUUGCUCUGGGAAGGUGACCCAGAAUUACUUAGGAAUCGUUCCUCUUUUGGUCGUGCCCCGGACACAUUUGACAUUGUUGGGAAUUUACGGUUGUUGCCUCAGUUUAAUGAAAAGGAUCCUGAGACAUUCUUUUUGUUGUUUGAGCGUGUUGCUAACGCUAGGAGUUGGCCUGAUUCUGAUCGCGCUUUGAUGUUGCAAUGUGUGCUGACUGGUAAAGCGCAGGAAGCAUAUUCAGCUCUUAGUGUAGCCGACAGUGUCAUUUAUGAUAAGGUUAAAACGGCGGUGUUACAGAUUUACGAAUUGGUUCCUGAGGCUUACCGCCAACGAUUUAGAACUUUAAAAAGGGAUGAUAAACAAACUCAUGUUGAGUUUGUGCGACAAUUAUCUUCACAGUUUAAUCGCUGGUGUUCCGCCUCUGCAGUUAUGACUUUCCAAGGGCUGUGUGAGCUGAUUAUGUUAGAGCAAUUUAAGGACACAGUCCCUGAUCGUAUAGCCACAUAUAUUAACGAACGGAAAGUUAAAACUGUCGCUGAAGCUGCGGUUUUGGCAGAUGAAUAUGUUUUGACUCACAAAACUGUUUUUGUAGAGCCCCGUAUACGGAGUGAGUGGAGACGUUCGGAGAGAUUUGGACCUCGGUCACCGAGAUACUCUGGUUCACGGGCAGAGUUUUAUUCAACUAGGGUUGAGCCUGACUCCCGUGGUAAAACUGACUUUGGUCAAGAGUGUCACUACUGUAAAAGCUCAGGUCAUUGGAAAAACGAAUGUCCGGUUCUUAGGUCUAGGGAUAAGUUCAGUACAGGUACUUAUGUUAAAUCUAAGCCUACGG
ensembl:lncRNA